UUUUCUUGUUUGGAGGUGAAAAAUGAGAGUUAUGUGAUGUAUAUUGAUGUUUGAUAUAUGUUGUGAAAUAUGUGUCUUGAGAUGUGAAACUUUGAUGGAAGUUAGUUUACCCCAAAAAUGGUAACUUUUGAGUUAAUGAGUUAAUUGAUGAAUUGAUGAUAUAAAUGAGUCUAUGAGGUGUAGAUGAUGAUGAUUGAUGGAUUAAUUUAAGUAUAUGAUG
rnacentral:lncRNA from 1 species